GACGAACGCUGGCGGCGUGCCUAAUACAUGCAAGUUGAGCGCUGAAGGAUGGUGCUUGUACCAACUGGAUGAGCAGCGAACGGGUGAGUAACGCGUGGGGAAUCUGCCUUUGAGCGGGGGACAACAUCUGGAAACGAAUGCUAAUACCGCAUAAAACCUUUAAACACAAGUAUCAAGUUUGAAAGAUGCAAUUGCAUCACUCAUAGAUGAUCCCGCGUUGUAUUAGCUAGUUGGGGAGGUAAAGGCCCACCAAGGCGAUGAUACAUAGUCGACCUGAGAGGGUGGACGGCCACAAUGGGACUGGGAAACGGCCCAAACUCCUACGGGGAGCAGCAGUAGGGGAACAUCGGCAAAGGACGGAAAUCUGGCCGAAGAACGCCGCGUGAGUGGAAGAGGUUCUCGGGUCGUAAAACUCUGUUGGUAGGGAAGAACGUUGGUGAGGGUGGAAAGCUCAUCAAGUGACGGUAACUACCCAGAAAGGGACGGCUAACUACGUG
rnacentral:rRNA from 1 species